rnacentral:rRNA from 1 species
UUCGGACGGGACCCGCACAAGCGGUGGAUGAUGUGGUUUAAUUCGGUGCAACGCGAAAACCUUACCCACCUUUGACAUGUACGGAAUCCUUUAGAGAUAGAGGAGUGCUCGAAAGAGAGCCGUAACACAGGUGCUGCAUGGCUGUCGUCAGCUCGUGUCGUGAGAUGUUGGGUUAAGUCCCGCAACGAGCGCAACCCUUGCCAUUAGUUGCUACGAAAGGGCACUCUAAUGGGACUGCCGGUGACAAACCGGAGGAAGUGGGGAUGACGUCAAGUCCUCAUGGCCCUUAUAGGUGGGGCUACACACGUCAUACAAUGGCUGGUACAGAGGGUUGCCAACCCGCGAGGGGGAGCUAAUCCCAUAAAGCCAGUCGUAGUCCGGAUCGUAGUCUGCAACUCGACUACGUGAAGUCGGAAUCGCUAGUAAUCGUGGAUCAGAAUGUCACGGUGAAUACGUUCCCGGGUCUU